GGCAGAAACUCGAAGUAGAGUAGUUUAGUAUGAUCAGAUGAUCCUUCUAGUCUACUCUACUUCGAAUUUGGGUCC
rfam:Haemonchus contortus, ISE/inbred ISE, WGS project CAVP01000000 data, contig: Hcontortus_37391